rnacentral:rRNA from 1 species
GGGGAGAUUCAUCGUCAGCGGCUUUGGCUUUCGUGUGGUGCGCGAUGCUCGGGACUUUGGUCACGCGGCACGCGUCCACUGCGUUAUGUCCGGAGACGUCGGCGUGCACUUCUCCCCUAGUAGGACGUCGUGACCCGUUGGGUGUUGGUUUACGGUCCGGGUGGUUGCCUGUUCCGUCGCAUUUUAUGCGUUGCGGAGCAGACCCCCGGUAACCCGACCAACUGCCCGGCGGUACUCGCACGGUAUCGGGCCGCACAUUGUGCGUCAGGC